rnacentral:rRNA from 1 species
GGAACGCUAUCGGUAUACUGGGCGUAAGCGCACGCAGGCGGUCUGUCAAGUCGGAUGUGAAUCCCCGGGCUCAACCUGGGAACUGCAUUCGAAACUGGCAGGCUAGAGUCUUGUAGAGGGGGGUAGAAUUCCAGGUGUAGCGGUGAAAUGCGUAGAGAUCUGGAGGAAUACCGGUGGCGAAGGCGGCCCCCUGGACAAAGACUGACGCUCAGGUGCGAAAGCGUGGGGAGCAAACAGGAUUAGAUACCCUGGUAGUCCACGCCGUAAACGAUGUCGAUUUGGAGGUUGUGCCCUUGAGGCGUGGCUUCCGGAGCUAACGCGUUAAAUCGACCGCCUGGGGAGCACGGCCGCGAGGUUAAACUCAAAUGAAUUGACGGGGGCUCGCACAAGCGGCGGAGCAUGUGGUUUACUUCGAUGCAAGGGGAAGAACCUUACCUGGUCUUGACAUCCACAGAACUUUCCAGAGAUGGAUUGGUGCUUUCGGGAACUGUGAGACAGGUGCUGCAUGGCUGUCGUCAGCUCGUGUUGUGAAAUGUUGGUUAAGUCCCGCACGAGCGCACCCUUAUCCUUUGUUGCCAGCGUUCGGCCGGGAACUCAAGAGACUGCCAGUGAUAAACUGGAGGAAGGUGGGAUGACGUCAAGUCAUCAUGCCCUUACGACCAGGCUACACACGUGCUACAUGGCAUAUACUAGAGAGCGACCUCGCGAGAGCAAGCGACCUCAUAAAGUAUGUCGUAGUCCGAUUGAGUCUGCACUCGACUCAUGAGUCGGAACGCUAGUAAUCGUAGAUCAGAUGCUACGUGAUCGCGCCCCGGGGCUAAA